AUAUUUAAUAAUAAAAUAUUAAUUGAUAAAUUAUUUGAAAUAGAUGGUUUUGGGUUUAGGGUUUAGGGUUUAGGGUUUUAGGGUUUAGGGUUUAGGGUUUAGGGUUUAUAGGGUUUUAGGGUAUAGGGUUUUAGGGUAUAGGGUUUUAGGGUUUAGGGUUUUAGGGUUUAGGGUUUAGGGUUUAGGGUUUAGGGUUUAGGUUUUAGGGUAAUUAUUUUAAAUUUAAAUUCAAAUAUAAUAAUUAGGGUAAUAUCAUUAUUUUCUAUUUAUAACUAACCACUAUUAUUCUUAUUCCAUUUUAUCUAUCUAAACGCUAUUUUUCUUAAUCCCGGAAACGACUCAAUUAUUAUCCAAACGCAAAAUUAGUUUAUUCCAGGCUUAACUCUGAAACUAAUCCUAUUCUUGAAAUAACUAGUUUUUACUUAACUCCGAACUAAAUGAAGCCUAAUUAGUAAAAGUCUACAUAUUCUUGCAAAUAUGUUCUUUGGCCAACCAAUUCUUUUUAGUUACCAAUUAUACCACCUUUUACUGACCGCCUCCGGCGCAGGAUUUGAUGAUUAGUACCCAAUGUCUCAAACUGAAUCCUAAUUAAUUUAUAUUUUCAACUAAAUUUAAUUUUUAAAAAAUAAACGAAGUGAAUAGUUUACUACCUUUCUCUCCCAUUGCACGACUCGUGUCACAGA
rnacentral:lncRNA from 1 species